GACGAACGCUGGCGGCGUGCUUAACACAUGCAAGUCGAACGGAAAGGCCCUGCUUUUGUGGGGUGUUCGAGUGGCGAAAGGGUGAGUAACACGUGAGUAACCUGCCCUUGACUUUGGGAUAACUUCAGGAAACUGGGGCUAAUAUCGGAUAGGAGAUCCUGCAGCAUGGGGGGGGUUGGAAAGUUUUGGCGGUUGGGGAUGGAAUCGCGGCUAAUCAGCUUGUUGGUGGGGUAGUGGCGUACCAAGGCAUCGACGGGUAGCCAGCCUGAGAGGGUGACCGGGCACAUAGGGACUAGGACAGGACCAAGACUCAUACGGGAGGCAUCAGUGGGAAAUAUAGCACAAUAGGCGGCGGGCUGAUGCAGCAACGCCGCAUGCGAGAUGACCGCCGUCAGAGUAGAAACCGCUUUCGCCUGUGAAGAUGCUUAAGUGACGGUAAUGGGUAAAGAAGCACCGGCUAACUACGUG
rnacentral:rRNA from 1 species